rnacentral:RNase_P_RNA from 1 species
AGUGCAAGUCGGCUUGUCGCUCCGUUCCGAAUUAAUCGGAAUCGGUGAGGAAAGUCCGGGCAACAUAGAGCACCAUACUUCCUAACGGGAAGGGCUUUGGCUGGUGACAGCCAAAGUACAGAUAGUGCCACAGAAAAUAUACCGCCAUGAAGUAAAGCGACGCUUUCACUUCACGGUAAGGGUGAAAAGGUGAGGUAAGAGCUCCCCGCUUUGGCAGUGAUGUCGAAGGCAUGGCAAACCUUAUGGGUUGAAAGAUCAAAUAGGCUCCGGGCAAAACGCUGCUCGUGUGAUUUCUGACUUGUCAGAAUUCCGGAGUGGGUAGAUCGAUAGAGGCUGAGUGUGAACUCAGUCCCAGAUAAAUGACAAGAUUCCUUUAGGGAAACAGAACCCGGCUUACAGACUUGCACAUUUU